UCGUGCUAGACGGGGAACUAGCGGUGCCCUGUAACCCGCAAUCCGCUAUAGCGGGGUCGAAUUCCCGACCUGAGGGCCCGCUCUGUGGGGCCUGACCGCCGCAAGUGGUGUUGAUGGCUGGGUCUCGCGCAACAUCGCGCUACCGAAUCCCGUCAGGUCCGGAAGGAAGCAGCGGUAAGGUAUUCGGGGUGUGUGCCGUGAGGACGCCUGGCAGGAGCUAACUGCGUCGGUAACGCCUGGAGGGCGUGGUUCAAGGGCGGGUGCACGA
rnacentral:SRP_RNA from 1 species